rnacentral:rRNA from 1 species
CCUACGGGAGGCAGCAGUGGGGAAUAUUGCACAAUGGGGGAAACCCUGAUGCAGCGACGCCGCGUGAGUGAAGAAGUAUUUCGGUACGUAAAGCUCUAUCAGCAGGGAAGAAAAUGACGGUACCUGACUAAGAAGCCCCGGCUAACUACGUGACAGCAGGCGCGGUAAUACGUAGGGGGCAAGCGUUAUACGGAUUUACUGGGUGUAAAGGGGGCGUAGACGGCAGCGCAAGUCUGGAGUGAAAGCCUCUGGCUUAACCAUGGAACUGCUUUGGAAACUGGGCAGCUAGAGUGCAGGAGAGGUAAGCGGAAUUCCUAGUGUAGCGGUGAAAUGCGUAGAUAUUAGGAGGAACACCAGUUGCGAAGGCGGCUUACUGGACUGUAACUGACGUUGAGGCUCGAAAGCGUGGGGAGCAAACAGGAUUAGAUACCCCAGUAGUC